rnacentral:rRNA from 1 species
AGCGAACGCUGGCGGCAGGCUUAACACAUGCAAGUCGAGCGGGCGUAGCAAUGCGUCAGCGGCAGACGGGUGAGUAACGCGUGGGAACGUACCUUUUGGUUCGGCACAACACAGGGAGACUUGUGCUAAUAACGGAUAAGACCUUACGGGGAAAGAUUUAUCGCCGAAAGAUCGGCGCGCGUGUGAUUUGCUAGUUGGUGAGGUAACGGCUCACAAAGGCGACGAUCAGUAGCUGGUAUGAGAGGAUGAUCAGCCACAUUGGGACUAAGAAACGGCCCAAACUCCUACGGGAGGCAGCAGUGGGGAAUAUUGGACAGUGGGCGCAAGCCUGAUCCAGCCAUGCCGCGUGAGUGAUGAAGGCCCUAGGGUUGUAAAGCUCUUUUGUGCGGGAAGAUAAUGACGGUACCGCAAGAAUAAGCCCCGGCUAACUUCGUGCCAGCAGCCGCAGUAAUAC